rnacentral:rRNA from 1 species
UACGUAGGGGGCAAGCGUUGUCCGGAAUUAUUGGGCGUAAAGAGCGCGUAGGCGGUCCGAUAAGUCGGCUGUGAAAGUCAGGGGCUCAACCCUUGAAAGCCGGCCGAUACUGUCGGACUAGAGUCCGGAAGAGGCAAGUGGAAUUCCCGGUGUAGCGGUGAAAUGCGUAGAUAUCUGGAGGAACACCGGUGGCGAAGGCGGCAUCCUGGACCAACACUGACGCUGAGGAGCGAAAGCCAGGGGAGCAAACAGG